CAGCAAAGCAAACUGAGAGCUGAAUCGUUCUCCGUGGUGAGAAAAAGCGAUACUGGAACGAAGUUAGCUAUCAGGAUCUAGGGGAGCUGGGUUGAAGACCCUGCAUGCGGAGCAGGAGAAGGAGGAGAUAAGGUGGCUGAUAGCCACAGAAGAAAUCUUCAAGGAGAACAGCUCUGUCCUCUGACCACUGUGUGGUGAUCAGCAUAACCCUCCCACUUCCGGCGCUGUCCAGUAACCUCGGCAUAACGGAUCCCGGUCUGUUCAGCGGACUUUCUGUUGGAGGGCUGUGACGAUGCCCAGGACCACGGCAGACAGCAUGGAGAAAUGGAGAAAUCUCCCCAGGAUCCUUGCUGCGGGCUGGAGGACUGCAUCAAGAGGACCCAAGGAGAUCUGAG
rnacentral:lncRNA from 1 species